UUUACCCAGAUGAAACCCAGCUGCCGCCUUACUUCCUUCAGCCACCAAGAUUCCUUUUUUCCCAAACCUUCCCAAACCCACGCAGCAAAACAGCAAACUCAUGGAAGAAAGAAAAAAAGAGAAAGAGGGAAGGAGAGAUGGGGGACUGAAGGAAGAGAAGAAAGAAAGGGAGAAUGGAGAAGAGAGGGAGACGACGCCGGUGGGCCUCACUGCCACCAUCGCCGUCGCUGUGCCGUCGGGAGGGAGAUCCGAGAGAGAGGAAGAGAGCACCGAUGAGGGAGAGCGUCGGGGAGGAAGUAGCUUGCUGCCGCCUUGGCGUCCUGCUGCUCGCGUCAUCACCGCCAGCUUCGUCGGAUCCUUACCGCCGAACCCGUUCUUGCCGCCGCCGUUGGAAUCACGAACAGGGGAAGGAGAAGACGCGGGCCAGUGCCGCGAGGAGGAGUGCGACCCGCUACACAACGCUGCGCCGCCGUGUGUUGUUGCCGUCGCCGAGCUCCCAUGGUUGCCGCCGGCAAGAUUCAAAGGGAGAGAAGCUCAAGGAGAGAGAAAGAUCGGCGGAGGAGGUUUUUGUUCGAGCGGCCGUGCCUCCACCGCCUUUCACCGUUGCAGAUCCGCCACCGUCCACCGCGCCGCACCACGCCACGUCGCCGCCGGAAACUGCUACUGAGGCCUAAGUCUGUUUGGUUAUACAGUCACCACUGUUGCUUGUGUGGCUACGCCGUGGUGAUUAUAGCUGCCGCCACAGUCACCGCCUGAAUGCCCUGGAAUUUCUAUUGUCUUGCCCAAAUUCAAGUCUAGUGUCACUACCCUGUGUUGUUCCUGCAUUUAAUUUCAUCAAAUUCGAAUCCUGCUGCAACCAUUGUCAUUACCGUAGGAAAAUUAACGCUGCUGCGAAUUAGGAAGGAAAGGGGAUUGUCGCGUUUAAAUUACACGAUCUUGGCUAAUCAAGGUAGGGGUUUUUCUUAAAAUCUAAUUCAUAUUACAGAGUUGUGAUAAAUAGAUAUUAAUGUGAGAGAACAUAUGCCUGUGAUUAUAAUUGCCUUCUAAAUGUGAUUUUUGCUGGACUGAAUGACUGAUUGCUUGACUGCUUGAGUAGUUUGUGGUUGCUGAAAAGAAAUAAGUUUGGAAGGUUAUUUAGUUGAUUAUUAUGAAAAAUGGCUUUUCUUGGUUUUGAAGCUAUUUUUGAUGAUGUAAAGGAAUUGGCUUUGGAAAUGGUUUAAUUUUGAGUUAGUGACUUUAUAAAUGAUUUAGUAUUUGAGCUGGUCUGAUUUUAAAAAGAGGUUUACUAUGGGCACUGAUUCGCUUUGAAAAUUAUUUGAUAUUGGAACUAGCCGAAUCUUAGAAAAUGAUUGAGGUUUUGGAAAGGUUUGAGAAAUGUUUGGAUGGGACCCGAUCAGGGUGGCAGAAUCCGAGUUUUAGAGGAGAUGCUGCCGAAAUUUUAUAAAACUGAAAGUUUUGUUUGAAGUAAUUGUUUAAAAAGAUUUAGUUCUUAAACGUUAUUUGUUUCGGAUUGAUUUAUUUAAAAAAGAAAGAGUUAUGUUUUGAAUUGAGAUUGUUGAUUAACGGAAAGAAGGAUAAUGAGGAUUGAUAUGAAAUAUGAUUUUAGAAUGAAUUUGGAAAUGGGAUAUGAAUUGAUGAAUGAUGGUGAUAUUGAAAAUGGCUUAGAUAUUGAUGAAUGAUGAAUGAAUUGUUUAUAUGGCUUACGAAUUUGAAAUAUCUGAGAUACGAGGUUCCCUGGAUUAAGUGCCGUGGCUUGCCACCACGUGUACCAGGUUGAAAACUCGAUACUCUGUUGACCCUACGAUGUAAGUGUGUGACCGGGCACUAUAUAAAUUCCCGGGAAUGUUAACCCCAUUGAGUAAUAUUGAUUAUUUGAGAAAAAGCUAUGCAUAGACUCUUGGGGAUGCACGUCGGGGGACUGUCUAAGUACAAUUCAGACUUGUCGGGUUGGCUGGAUAACCGACAGAUGAGCCUCAUCAGCCAUAGGACAGGCAUGCAUCAUAUGCAUCUGUAUGCUUUGCUUGGGUUUGAACUUGUUUUGGUUUGCCUAAUUGCUAAACUGUCCUUAACUGCUACUUGAACUAUUUGCUGUAACUGCUUCCUACUUGUGUUUUCCUUGUCUGUCUUGCCUGUGUUUGUCCUGGCGUGUUACAUUUGAGAAUAGAUUUAGGUGCUGAAUUAAUGAUUGUGUUGUUUGAUUGCGUGGUUAGUUUCUGAUUGAGAUUUGCUUAUGAGAAAAGGAAGACUUUGGAUUUCUGAAAAUAUUAAACAUUGUUUCUGUGAAAAUGUUUUAAACGAUUAGCUGUUGGAUUUUAAAAGGAUUCAUAAGGCAACGAUAGU